AACAAACGCUGGCGGCGUGCCUAACACAUGCAAGUCGUACGAGAAAGUCGGCUUCGGCCGAUGAGUACAGUGGCGCACGGGUGAGUAGCGCGUGGGUAAUCUGCCCCCCGGUCAGGAAUAACCCGCCGAAAGGCGGGCUAAUACCCGAUAACACUGACGCUCCGCGGAGCGUCUUUCAAAGAAGGCCUCUGUUUACAAGCUUUCGCCGGAGGAUGAGCCCGCGUACCAUUAGCUAGUUGGCGGGGUAAUGGCCUACCAAGGCUACGAUGGUUAGCUGGUCUGAGAGGAUGGCCAGCCACACUGGAACUGAGACACGGUCCAGACUCCUACGGGAGGCAGCAGUGAGGAAUCUUGCGCAAUGGGGGAAACCCUGACGCAGCAACGCCGCGUGAGUGAGGAAGGCCUGGUCGUAAGAUCUGUCAGAUGGGAAGAAAAGUAGGAAGUGGGGGCGUAAGUAAUACGCCCACUCCUUGUACGGUACCACUCAGAGGAAGACACCGGCUAACUCCGUACCG
rnacentral:rRNA from 1 species